rnacentral:rRNA from 1 species
CUCGUAGGCGGCUUGGCAAGUCGAUCGUGAAAGCCCGGGGCUUAACCCCGGGACGCCGGUCGAUACUGCCAUGACUUGGGUCCGGUAGAGGAGAAUGGAAUUCCCGGUGUAGCGGUGAAAUGCGCAGAUAUCGGGAGGAACACCAGUAGCGAAGGCGGUUCUCUGGGCCGGUACCGACGCUGAGGAGCGAAAGCUAGGGUAGCGAACAGGAUUAGAUACCCUGGUAGUCC